rnacentral:rRNA from 1 species
UACGAAGGGGGCUAGCGUUGUUCGGAUUUACUGGGCGUAAAGCGCACGUAGGCGGAUCGAUCAUGUCAGGGGUGAAAUCCCAGAGCUCAACUCUGGAACUGCCUUUGAUACUGUCGAUCUGGAGUAUGGAAGAGGUGAGUGGAAUUCCGAGUGAUAGAGGUGAAAUUCGUAGAUAUUCGGAGGAACACCAGUGGCGAAGGCGGCUCCA